AGGAAAUUGUGGUAGAGGUAGAGAGAUGAAGGAGUCAUGUUUAUUAUGGAUGACAGUGGUAGAGAUUAAGGAGUCAUGUUUAUUAUGGAUGACCUGGUGGUAGAGAGGUAGAGGGAUGAAGGAGUCAUGUUUAUUAUGGAGGACAGAGGUAGAGAUGAAGGAGUCAUGUUUAUUAUGGAGGACAGUGGGAGAGAUGAAGGAGUCAUAUUUAUUAUGGAGGACAGUGGGAGAGAUGAAGGAGUCAUGUUUAUUAUGGAGGACAGUGGUUGAGAUGAAGGAGUCAUGUUUAUUAUGGAGGACAGUGGGAGAGAUGAAGGAGUCAUGUUUAUUAUGGAGGACAGUGGUAGAGAUGAAGGAGUCAUGUUUAUUAUGGAGGACAGUGGUAGAGAUGAAGGAGUCAUGUUUAUUAUGGAGGACAGUGGUAGAGAUGAAGGAGUCAUGUUUAUUAUGGAUGACAUAGUGGUAGAGAUGAAGGAGUCAUGUUUAUUAUGGAGGACAGUGCUAGAGAUGAAGGAGUCAUGUUUAUUAUGGAGGACAGUGGGAGAGAUGAAGGAGUCAUGUUUGUUAUGGAGGACAGUGCUAGAGAUGAAGGAGUCAUGUUUAUUAUGGAGGACAGUGGGAGAGAUGAAGGAGUCAUGUUUGUUAUGGAGGACAGUGGUAGAGAUGAAGGAGUCAUGUUUAUUAUGUAGGACAGAGGUAGAGAUGAAGGAGUCAUGUUUAUUAUGGAGGACAUUGGUAGAGAUGAAGGAGUCAUGUUUAUUAUGGAGGACAGUGGUAGAGAUGAAGGAGUCAUGUUUAUUAUGGAGGACAGUGGUAGAGAGGUAGAGAGAUGAAGGAGUCAUGUUUAUUAUGGAGGACAUGGUGGUAGAGAGGAAGAGAUGAAGGAGUCAUGUUUAUUAUGGAGGACAGAGGUAGAGAUGAAGGAGUCAUGUUUAUUAUGGAGGACAGUGGUAGAGAUGAAGGAGUCAUGUUUAUUAUGGAGGACAGUGGUAGAGAUGAAGGAGUCAUGUUUAUUAUGUAGGACAGAGGUAGAGAUGAAGGAGUCAUGUUUAUUAUGGAGGACAGUGGUAGAGAUGAAGGAGUCAUGUAUAUUAUGGAGGACAGUGGUAGAGAUGAAGGAGUCAUGUUUAUUAUGUAGGACAGAGUUAGAGAUGAAGGAGUCAUGUUUAUUAUGGAGGACAGUGGUAGAGAUGAAGGAGUCAAGUUUAUUAUGGAUGACAUGGUGGUAGAGAGGUAGAGAGAUGAAGGAGUCAUGUUUAUUAUGGAGGACAGUGGUAGAGAUGAAGGAGUCAUGUUUAUUAUGGAGGACAGUGGUAGAGAUGAAGGAGUCAUGUUUAUUAUGUAGGACAGAGGUAGAGAUGAAGGAGUCAUGUUUAUUAUGGAGGACAGUGGUAGAGAUGAAGGAGUCAUGUUUAUUAUGGAGGACAGUGGUAGACAUGAAGGAGUCAUGUUUAUUAUGGAGGACAGUGGUAGAGAUGAAGGAGUCAUGUUUAUUAUGGAGGACAGUGGGAGAGAUGAAGGAGUCAUGUUUAUUAUGGAGGACAUG
rnacentral:lncRNA from 1 species